rnacentral:rRNA from 1 species
UUCGGGUACAAUUGGAGACAGGUGGUGCAUGGUUGUCGUCAGCUCGUGUCGUGAGAUGUUGGGUAAGUCCCGCAACGAGCGCAACCUUGUGUUUACGUUGCAAACAGGUCAAGCUGUGCACUCUAGACAGACUGCCGUGGACAACACGGAGGAAGGUGGGGAUGACGUCAAGUCAUCAUGGCCCUUACGGCCUGGGCUACACACGUGCUACAAUGGUCGGUACAAAGGGUUGCCAAGCCGCGAGGUGGAGCUAAUCCCAUAAAAACCGAUCGUAGUCCGGAUCGCAGUCUGCAACUCGACUGCGUGAAGUCGGAAUCGCUAGUAAUCGUGAAUCAGAAUGUCACGGUGAAUACGUUCCCGGGCCUU